rnacentral:rRNA from 1 species
UUAUUUUAAUAAAAAUUAAAAACGACGGGCAAUAUGUGCAUAUUUAAAAUUUAAUUUAAAUAAAAUAUUUAUUUUAUUUUAAUUUUAAAUCCAAUUUAAUAUUAAUAUAACAAAUAAAAUUUCAUAAAUUUAUAAAUAUAGUAUUUCAUUAUAAUUUUAAAUAUUUAAUAUAUUAUGAUUUGAAAUUUAAAGUUGAAUUUUUAUAAAAAUUUUAUUUAUAAAUAAUUUUAAUACAACAAUAUAUAAUUUAAUUUUAAUUUAAAUAAAUUUUAUUGUGGAUUAUCAAUUAAUUAACAAAAUCCUCUAAUUUUUAUAAAUACUACCAAAUUAUUUAAUUUUAUUAAUUUAAAAAUAAUAAUCAAAAUAAAAUAAAUAAAUUAUUUAUAAUA